rnacentral:rRNA from 1 species
AAGCUCGUAGUUGGAUUACGAAGUGGUGUUUAAAUGUCAUUUUGGUUUGUUUGUCUUUCGGGGCAUUCAGGUCAACUUGGCUUUUACUCACUGUUGUCAUUGUCUUUGCCCAAGGUAUAUGCCUUGUGUGCAUGGCAUUGACCUUCUAUUUUAUGGUAAUGUUGUAUCUUUCGGGGUACAUUCAUUCCAUAUAGUUUACUUUGAAAAAAUUAGGGUGUUUAAAGCAGGCGAAAAGGCUUCGGAAUAUAUUAGCAUGGGAUAAUAGAAUACGAUCUAGGUCGUAAUUUGUUGGUUUCUACGGCUUAGGUAAUGAUUGACAGGGAUAGUUGGGGUCGCUCGUAUUGAGUUGUCAGAGGUGAAAUUCUAGGAUUAACUCAAGACGAACUAAUGCGAAAGCAUUCGGCAAGGAUGUUUUCAUUAAUCAAGAACGAAAGUUGGGGGAUCGAAGAUGAUCAGAUACCGUCGUAGUCUCAACUGUAAACUAUGUCGACCGAGGAUCCGGUAGCGUUACAUGGAUGACCUUCCGGGCACUCUGUGAGAAAUCAUAAGUAUUUGGAUUUCGGGGGGAGUAUGGUCGCAAGGCUGAAACUUAAAGGGAUUGACGGAAGGGCACCACCAGGAGUGGAAUCUGCGGCUUAAUUUGACCCAACACGGGAAAACUUACCAGGUCCGGACACAGUGAGGAUUGACAGAUUGAGAGCUCUUUCUUGAUUUUGUGGGUGGUGGUGCAUGGCCGUUUUUAGUUGGUGGAGUGAUUUGUCUGGUUAAUUCCGUUAACGAACGAGACCUUAACCUAUUAAAUAGCUGCGCGAACCCAGGUUCUUUAACCAUUCUCUCCUUCGGGGGGGCGUGGUAUCAUUAUUUUGCUUUUCACUUUCGGGUGGGAGGUAGGGUAGUGAUAGGGCCUGAGUUGGUGAUUUGGCUUCUUAGAGGGACUACUUGCAUCCUUAGCAAGGGGAGGUUUGAGGCAAAAACAGGUCUGUGAUGCCCUUCGAUGUUCUGGGCUGCACGCGCGUUACACUGGCGCAUGCAAAGAGUUUAAAAUUCCUGUCCCGAUGGGGUUGGGAAAUCUUUUUAAAGUGCGUCGUGAUGGGGAUAGAGCAUUGAAAUUAUUGCUCUUGAACGAGGAAUUCCUAGUAAUUGCAGGUCAUCAACCUGCAAUGAUUACGUCCCUGCCCUUUGUACACACCGCCCGUCGCUCCUACCGAUGGUUGAACCGAUGAGGACUCGGGAUGAUCUUAUUAGAUCGGUCGGUCGAAAGAUCGAUAGACUAUUAGGUCAGAACUUGUUCAAAUCUUUUUAA